rnacentral:rRNA from 1 species
UACGUAGGGUGCGAGCGUUGUCCGGAAUUACUGGGCGUAAAGAGUUCGUAGGCGGUUUGUCGCGUCGUUCGUGAAAACUUGGGGCUUAACUCCAAGCGUGCGGGCGAUACGGGCAGACGUUGAGUACUACAGGGGAGACUGGAAUUCCUGGUGUAGCGGUGAAAUGCGCAGAUAUCAGGAGGAACACCGGUGGCGAAGGCGGGU